CAGAAUGCAAGUCGAACGCGAAAGUUCCCUUCGGGGAGCGAGUAGAGUGGCGCACGGGUGAGUAACACGUAGGUAAUCUACCUUUGGAUGGGGAAUAACAACCGGAAACGGUUGCUAAUACCGCAUAAUGCAGCGGCACCUAAUGGUGACAGUUGUUAAAGCGGGGGAUCGUAAGACCUCGCGUCUGAAGAGGAGCCUGCGGCGGAUUAGCUAGUUGGUAAGGUAACGGCUUACCAAGGCGAUGAUCCGUAGCCGGCCUGAGAGGGCGGUCGGCCACACUGACACUGACAUACGGGUCAGACUCCUACGGGAGGCAGCAGUCGGGAAUUUUGGGCAAUGGGCGAAAGCCUGACCCAGCAACGCCGCGUGAAGGAUGAAAUCCUUCGGGAUGUAAACUUCGCAAGAACGGGAAGAAUAAACCGGUGUUAACACCACCGGCGAUGACGGUACUGUUUGUAAGCUCCGGCUAACUCCGUGCCAGCAGCCGCGGUAAUACGGGGGGAGCAAGCGUUGUCGGAUUUACUGGCGUAAAGGGCGCG
rnacentral:rRNA from 1 species